UUAGGAAGCAGUCUAGGGUCAUCAGCUCCCAGCAGCUUGAAGGAGGAGCCCCUCGGAAGCCGGGACUCAGACUCCUGCGGAGGGGGCACUGUCUGGUUCAUGCUGGUACCUCAAAGCAGCUGUGAUGGGACUGGUUCCAGGAGUACUGCAAGAAGCUAGAAAUCACAACGCACUGGAACAAAAACUGCUUCCAGGGUGAAAGGUCAAUUCUGGGGUGCUGCUGAUAGCACAGGCAGACAAACAGAAGGGGCAAGUCUCUCCUCCUAUCCUGUGCCAACCAGCUUCCCCCGAGGGUCCCUGAUUGGCAAAGAAGAUGAGUAGUCAGCAGAGUCCCAGCCCAGCAGAGCAGAAUAUAGGAAGGUGGAUCUGGAACUGAGACAGAACCCCUUCCCAGCCAGCACACAGGGGUGAUGUGUGCACACGAGGGCACGAGGAUUAAAGUAAGGGAGACAGUUGUCAGUAUAAUGACAUCAGCCACCGUUACUGAUCCUUUCCACACGCUGACUCCUUUACUCCUCACACCUAUGAGGCAGAUGCCAUUAUCUUAACACUUUUUACAAUGCCAAAGCUAAUAUUUAGGGAUGCUAAAUAACUUGCAAAAGGCUAGGAAAAGGAGGAGUCAAGAUUCACAGCCAGGUCUGUCUGGGUGCUAAGAUCCUGCUACAACCACCUGUAUUUGUUUUCUAGGGCUGCCGCAGCAAACUACAACAAACUGAGUGGCUUACAAACAGGGAAACUUUUUUAUAUCACAGUUCUAGAGGCCGGAAGUCCAAAAUCAAAGUGCUGGCAGCACCAGGCUCCCUCUGAAAUCGCUUAGCAGAGAAUUUUUCUUUGCCUCUCCCAGUGUCUGGUGGCUCCAGGCAUUUCUUGACUCGUAGCUAUGUAACUUCAGUCUCUGCCACCUUCUUCACAAGGCCUUCUCCUCUGUGUCUCUGUGUGUUCUCUUUUGUGGCUAUGGAACACUUAUCAUUGGAUUUAGGACCCACCUGGGUUAUCCAGGAUGAUCUCGUCUACAGAUUCUUAACUUUAAGUUAGAAAAAAGGGGGUGGGGUAAGCACAGGCACAGAAAUAAUUAAUUAAUUUAAUUAAUUAAUUAAAAGAAAAAACAAAGACACGUUUUCCAAAUAAAGUUGCAUUCACAGGUCUGGGGGUAGAAUAGGGACAUGUGUUUGGCAGCCACAAUUCAACCACUGCACCAUCAUAUCAUGUAAAACAACUACUGGGCUUUUGAAAAUCAUUUUCAGCAAAGCCACUUAAAAUUAAAUCUGUAUUCUUAUAACAUUUUCAGAUUCUAAAACAAUGUUUUGUGCCAUAUGUAGAACUUUUAAUAUUUGAUGUUCCUGUCCCUUCAAGCUUUAAGCAGUGACACCUUCUGCAGCUCCUGUCUUCUAAACAGCCAUCCUGCAUGUCUUCACCUCAUCAACUCAUGAUCUCAUUUCAAAUCUCAUCUGGAAAUAUCCUCCCUCCACUCUGGUCCCUCCUUGGCUGCUUUCUUUGGCUUGACUUUCAUCAGCACUUGUGUCACGCAGUCCAAGGAUUCAGUGGGCACGCCUGGUCCAACAAGUAUUAUUUAAGAUGAGAGUUUCCUCAUCCAUCGAGUGGAAGGCUCCCAAAGCCUCUAACGUGUGUCCCAAAAGAGUCCACCCUCCUCCCCCAAGUCUCCACUCCACACUCCAGCCUUAGGAAGGAAACUUUCAAAUGAUGGUUUCUCUCUUUGGUUGAAAGAACGGAAUGAUCCAUUUUGCAACUCACCUGGUUGAGGAUGUAGUUUGGAAGUUUACCUACUUUGAAGACACGUGUCUGUGUGUCUGUGUGUGAAGGGUAAAAAGAUUUCUCAAAGCAAGCAGACAUUAGAGAGAAAUGUACAUAGUGCUCUUUUGCAAAAUAAAAUAUGUGAGCUGAGGGCCUCUAAUGCAUUAGGGUUAAUGACAUAUAUUUCAUAUGCCUGAUCUGAAAGAAUUGAAAAGGUGUCUUUUCUCUCCCAUGUAAAUAUGUCAGAGCCAUCGUUAUUAGUGUCUGACAUAUUUGCUAGUGCAGAUUUCCAGCAUCCCAAGUACUAUAUCCCUUAGAUUUAAUUCUGAAGUUCUUAGAUUUGGCAUCCUGUAAAGAAAGGAGAUGAAUAUUAGAAAGUGAAAUUUUAAAACCCAUCCAAGGUUUCCUCUAAGUGUCUCAAUAUUGAAAUCAUCAAUAUCUGUUUGAAGUUUAAUUUUAAGAAACUAUUUCCUGCCUCCACAGACCUACAUAUUGAUGUUACUGCAUUGUUCUUCCCUCUUUUCCUACAAAAUUCUCGGAAACAUGUUUUUCUUCAGGCAAGGGAGUAGAUGAAAACACCGAAUAGAUUAUUUCAGACGUACUUUCUCUCCCCUUCCCCAUGACCAGGAAAAGACAAAACGUUGCCUCUUCUUUCAUUUUUCUUCUUGGUAUAUUGAUGGAGCUGUCAUUAUGCCCUCAACACCUCAUCUGAAGUAAUAUGGGACAAUAAGAGGGGCAGCCGCUUCCCAAGACUUCACAGUCAUCAUGUAGUUCAUCCAAGAGCUCCAGCCACACCAAUCUGACCCUGCUAUGGCUAAGGACAAGGCUGCCUUCCGGCAACCCCGAGAACAGAGUUGGACAGUCCAUCCCUGGGAGACCCUGUCCCAGAACAUCUAGACUCCCAGGUUGGUCCUCUUUGGAACAUGAGAGGAUGUGGUUACAUUUGCAAUUGAAAGACAUCAUCUAGGGGGUAAAUGUGAAAGGAAAGGUCCAGGAAGGACCAGGGCAGAGGGCUCCCCUAUAAUUCUCUGAUGUUCAUUCCUUUGAACACCCUUAGCCAUGUAGACACAUUUGCAAGGAGAGAGUUUGCAAAGCCAUUAAUAGAAACAAAAGUAGUAAGGAAGAUCUGAUGUGACUCAACAUGCUGUUCACAUAAGAGAAACUAAUCUCCAGGCAGAAUGGCCUGUAACUGAUGCCUGUGUUCUGUUAUUGAAAGCCUCUUGGCAUUGCUUUGUUGCAUUCUGGAAUACACAAUUACAAGCACUGAAAUUAAAGAAGCAAAAAACAUUAACCAAUUCCAUAACUAUAACAAUAGAUACAAAAUAUUAUACAUGCUAGAUUCAUGUCAGUUCUCAAAACAGUCUUAACUGUCCUCAUUUCUGUACACACUUCACCAAUGACUCACUUUUACACUCUGACAAGUCACAUGACUUCCUUGCACUGUAUUUUCUGCAUUUACAGAUGGGAUAAAAAACAACUUUAAUGCUGUUGUAUGUUCAAGGAACCUAACCACAAAGUACUGUGAAUUCCUUGUAUAAAUGGUACUGUGCAGAAACAAGCCAGUUUAAAACCAAAACUAAACCAAAAGAAGCAUUAGCCAAGUCAGGAGUACCCCCAAAAUUCAGAGAUUACUGCAACUUAUUGCAUUAAAGUCUGGGCAACGUGUCUUCAGAGAGAACAUGCUACUUGUUUAGGGGUAGUUUGGCAUAGGCAGGAAGGUAUGGAUUUAAGGUUUAAAUCUUGGAUCUGCAAGUGAUGGUUGCACAAAUAUAUGUGACUUUGGGCAACUCACACUUAUGAAAUGGAGAUAAAGACAGCUACCUUACAGGGUAUUUGUAAGAAAUACAGAGAAACAUGAAGAAUACUUAGAACAUAGCAGAUGCCCAAGAAAUACAUCCUCUGUAUUUUCUGCAUCCUAUUUUCAGGUUAAUCCUGCUCCACUCCCCUGCCCCAUUAACUCAAGACUUCAUAUUGAUGGAGAAGUCAGCAGAGCAGCCAAGAGCAUCAGCAGCUGCCCAUUAGCCUUUACCCACUGCAUGGUUCAUUCAUUCAUUCAUUCAUUCAACAAGUAUUUCUCAAGCUUCUCCCACACGCCAGGCACUAGAGCUGAUCCCCUGCAGCUUUUCAGCAUUACCAGUAUCCACUGCUAACCAGAUCUGCUUGACCCCUCGAGUUCGCCUUUCUUCACUGGUUCCAGUGAAGAAACCCUGAGCCUCCCCCAGUCUAUCUUGGACAGUUGUGCAAAUUAAGCAUUACCGAACUCAUGGAGCAGCAUCCACGUCACGGCGCUUCCUUCUUGCUCGUCCUCCCUGCCUACAUGCACCUAGGGAAUCUUUCUGAGGUUAUGCUAAGCAAAGUGAAUACAGUAAAAUCCAAGAAUUAGAUUGAAGACCGAGUGAGGGGAGUAAAGGCUUCCUCCCCUCAUUGAGGACAGCAUCUGGCUAGGAAGUCAUGGGCCUCGUUAACAUUAUUAAUCACUCUAAUGCCAACAUGGUUGUAUUUUUAUUUGAUUUUCAAGGGGAUCUUGUAGAAAAAGGUUAUCUCCUUUUUACCAAUGAAGAAGCAAGAUCCAGAGGAAUUAAACCAUUUGACUGUGGUCACAAAGCCAGUGGGUGUCUGCACUAAGACCAAAAUUCAGUUCUCCUGACCCCCAGGCCUGUUUCCUCACAGGCUGGUGGCCCAGCCGUGCUGUCCAAUAGAAUUAUCUGUGUGAUGGAAUGUUCUAGACCUGUGCCAGCUAAUGCAGUAGCCACCCAGCUCAAUGUGCCUGUUGAGUACUUGAAAUGUGGUUAGUGUAACU